GCUCUGUCCCCCCUGGAGAGCGUCCGCCGAUGGCCCACAAAAACUCUUGUACCGAAACGUGUCGUCUGAAUUAUAUUUUGAGAAAUCAAAAACAAAACUUUCAACAACGGAUCUCUUGGUUCUGGCAUCGAUGAAGAACGCAGCGAAAUGCGAUAAGUAAUGCGAAUUGCAGAAUUUCCGUGAGUCAUCGAAUCUUUGAACGCACAUUGCGCCCAUUGGUAUUCCGAUGGGCAUGCCUGUUCGAGCGUCAUUAUCCUCCCUCAAACCUCGUGUUUGGUGUUGGACCGCGUUGGUCGAGCGACCAACUGGUCUCAAAGACAAUGACGGCGUCCGUGGGACCCUCGGUGCAACGAGCUUUUAACGAGCACGCGUCGAGUUUCAAGGACCCUCCGGGCCGGUCUAGACCUCUAUCUUC
rnacentral:rRNA from 1 species